rnacentral:rRNA from 1 species
AUUGAACGCUGGCGGCAUGCCUUACACAUGCAAGUCGAACGGCAGCACGGGUGCUUGCACCUGGUGGCGAGUGGCGAACGGGUGAGUAAUAUAUCGGAACGUACCUUAUUGUGGGGGAUAACGCAGCGAAAGCUGUGCUAAUACCGCAUAAUCCCUUAGGGGGAAAGCGGGGGACCGUAAGGCCUCGCGCAAUUAGAGCGGCGGAUACCUGAUUAGCUAGUUGGUGAGGUAAAGGCUCACCAAGGCGACGAUCAGUAGCUGGUCUGAGAGGACGAUCAGCCACACUGGGACGGAGACACGGCCCAGACUCCUACGGGAGGCAGCAGUGGGGAAUUUUGGACGAUGGGGCAACCCUGAUCCAGCAAUGCCGCGUGAGUGAAGAAGGCCUUCGGGUUGUAAAGCUCUUUUGUCAGGGAAGAAACAGCAGCUCUAACACAGUAUGCGAAUGACGGUACCUGAAGAAUAAGCACCGGCUAACUACGUGCCAGCCGCCGCCGUAA